rnacentral:rRNA from 1 species
GAACGCUGGCGGCAGGCCUAACACAUGCAAGUCGAGCGGAAACGAUCCUAGCUUGCUAGGAGGCGUCGAGCGGCGGACGGGUGAGUAAUGCAUAGGAAUCUGCCCGGUAGUGGGGGAUAACUUGAGGAAACUCAAGCUAAUACCGCAUACGCCCUACGGGGGAAAGCAGGGGCUCUUCGGACCUUGCGCUAUCGGAUGAGCUUAUGUCGGAUUAGCUGGUUGGUGAGGUAACGGCUCACCAAGGCGACGAUCCGUAGCUGGUCUGAGAGGAUGAUCAGCCACAUCGGGACUGAGACACGGCCCGAACUCCUACGGGAGGCAGCAGUGGGGAAUAUUGGACAAUGGGGGCAACCCUGAUCCAGCCAUGCCGCGUGUGUGAAGAAGGCCCUCGGGUUGUAAAGCACUUUCAGCGAGGAAGAAUGCUUGUCGGUUAAUACCCGGCAAGGGAGACAUCACUCGCAGAAGAAGCACCGGCUAACUCCGUGCCAGCAGCCGCGGUAAUACGGAGGGUGCGAGCGUUAAUCGGAAUUACUGGGCGUAAAGCGUGCGUAGGCGGCUUGAUAAGCCGGUUGUGAAAGCCCCGGGCUCAACCUGGGAACGGCAUCCGGAACUGUUAGGCUAGAGUGCAGGAGANGAANGUAGAAUUCCCGGUGUAGCGGUGAAAUGCGUANAGAUCGGGAGGAAUACCAGUGGCGAAGGCGGNCUUCUGGACUGACACUGACGCUGAGGUACNAAAGCGUGGGUAGCAAACAGGAUUANAUACCCUGGUAGUCCACNCCGUAAACAAUGUCGACUANCCGUUGGGGUCCU